AAGCAAUCUUUCUGCCUUGGCCUCCCAAAGCACUGGGGUUACAGGCAUGAGCCACCAUGCCUGGCCCCAUGUCCUGUUUCUAAACUAAUAAUUAGCAAGGUAAGGCAAAAACGGUCCUUUUACCUGUAUUUGAGCUCACAUCUACGGAGGCUUCAACAGAACAAUUCCAUGUCCUAUUUUUGGAAGAAAGCUCCAAUUUCUAGCCCUAGUUUUCAGUGUUGUGGAGUAGUUUUAUUUCCUGUCUUUCGUAUUUUUUUUUUAAAAAAAGCUUCUCCAACAUUUUAGUUGCAAUCUGAGACAGUCUGUUUCAGAGACAAAAUUUUACAGCCAGAUGCUCCAGUGUGAGCCGCUGCAGUUUGUUUCUAAGGAUGAUCAGUAACGAAUGGGGAAUGCUUGUCAUUUGCUCAAAUAUUGUGAAGUCUUGUCUUUUCUUGGGCACAUGCACACUUUUAUAGGCAAGGUUUCAUCCAUCCGUAAUGCCUGCUGGGACAACUGGGAGAACAGGUCAGUCAUUUGCAGAAACAGACCUAAAACCCUAAGGCCUAGGAGCCAUCACAGCCCCCACCCCAUCUGGACAUUAACAAGACACACAGGGUGGGGAAAGAAGGCAAAUGGGAGUGCAGUGGAGUCAGGAGAUAGGCAACUCUGGGCCUCCACUUCCGUGGGGGAUUUUAAUAAUCUCCCUGGAGUCACAGUGGGUUGUUAUAAGGAGGCAGAGGGAAGGUAGGAUGGUUCUGAUACAGAAAAUAGCUCCUCAGUGGGACAGGGGAGAUGACAGCAGAGAAGCUUUCAACCACCUUUUUUUUUGUGAUGCCACAAGUCUCUGCAGCUCACCUGUAUAGCGCUAUUGCUCUAUUCCACGUGACAAAACAUGAGUCACCUGCUCAAUUAGUUUCAUUCAGUCCAUUAUCCCUAUAGCUAGGGAGAGCUCUCUCCCAUAAACUGGCAAAUCAUUGUUCAAUAUAUUUAAUCUUAAUAUGGUUGAUCCUUCCUUUUCUUUCUUUUUACCUCUCUUCCUCUCUCCAUCCUUCUUAUUCAUCCAUCCACCUAUCUAUCCAUCCAUUUACCUGAAGGUAUGUUGACCAUCUACUUUGUGUCAGGUACUAUUCCAAGCACUUAAUAUACAAUAUCUGAUUAAAUUUUAACAAUACCCUGGAAGUUAGCUCUUAAUAUUCUUUAUGAAUAUUAUAUGAGGUUUAGAGAGUUUAUGUGUCUUGUCCAAGAUUCAGCAAAAUUCAGCCCAUGGGCUAAAUUCAACCUAUUUUUGUAAAUAAAGUUUAGUUGGAACAUAUCCAUGCCCAUUUGUUUACGUAUGACACAAUUUCAGCAGAGUGGAGUAGUUACAACAGAGACCAUUUGGUCCACAAAUGCUAACAUAUUUACUAACUGGCCCUUAACUGAAAAAGUUUGCCAACCCCUGUUCUUGCCCAGUAAUACUUAGCAAGAAAGUAGCAGAGUCAAAGAUUCAAACCCAGAUCUAUUUAACUCAAAAGGCCAUAAUUCUUCAAUGCUGUGUCAUGCAACAGAAGUAUGUGAGUUUUGUCUACAUGACUUCUUGACACCUAGGGUGAGAUGGCCAGGCUAGAUUUAUGGUAAGAGGAACAGAUCUGACAUAUAUUACUUAGUAAGUAGCCAAUUACUGUGGAAGACUCUCUUCAUUUGUAAGAAAAGCCAGUGAGGAUGCUUUUUUUUUUUUUCCUGGUGAAGUAAUUAUAGAGACGAGUGUUGAUGCAUGUUUUGACUUUGCUGCAAAAGUAGUUCUGUCUUCUCCAGUUUAAGUAAUUACAUUAGUUUCUAAAUAGAGCAGAUGGAACUAUAGUUGUCAAAGAAUGCAAAGAUCAGUCAACUGCAUUUAUGGUGUGACAUUCUAAGCAGAGAUACCGCAAAGUAUCUUGUGCAAAACCAACUAGGUGAGUGCUAUUGAGCACCUGUGAGCCAGAAGAAAACAGGAGAAAAAUGUGGCUAAAUGGAAAUGGAAAUUUCUACACAAUGGGAUCUGGUGGCAAACACAUUUUCCUACCAUAAUGCCCCAACAAUUGCUUGUUUUCUAAUGUUGCCUGGUUGGGGGAAGAUAUAUUCUGAGUGUUCCUCCAAACUUGUAGAACUCAAUUUUUCUGGGGGAGAGGGUUGUCCUAAGAUGGUCUGCUUGGUACUCAGAGUGCAAAGAUGUCUCCUGCAAGAAGCAAGCAGCUUAUGAAGGAAGCAAUGACUUAAAGCAGACACGUUACCUCUAAAGAACAGGGAGAAGAUCAAAUCCAGAACCAGGCAGUAGUAAUAAGGGAACUGACCUGGCAAUAGGCCAAGGAUCCAAACGACAUGGGAACCAGGCAUGAUUCAAAACAGCCACUGCUGAACACCUACACCAAUGGGGGGAAAAAUGAUACUCUUAGCGUUAGAGUCCACAACUGCUACAGAGUCUCAGCUGUGAUUUCUACUGCCGGGUGUCCCCAUAGAAGUCUGCAUCCCAACCCCUGAGACCUGUGAAUAUGUUACCUUACUUAGCAAAAGGGACUUUGCAGAUAUAAUUAAGCUAAAGAUCUUGAGAUGGGGAGAUUAUUCUUCAUUUUUUGGGUGGGCUCAGUGUAAUCACAAGUGUCCUUGUAAAUGAAAGUGGGAGGUAAGAGGGUCAGAGUCAGAGAGAGAUGUCAAGAUGCUACACUGCUACCUUUGAAGAUAGAGGAAGGGGCCAUGAGCCAAGCAGUGCAGACAGCUUCUAGGAGCUAGAAAAAGUCAGCCGACAGAUUCUGUCCCAGAACCUCUAGAACCAACACAUCCAGGCAACACCUUGAUUUUAGCCCAGUGAAACCCAUUUCAGACAUCUGACUCCCAGAAGGCCAGAAGAUAAUAAAUUUGUGUGGUUUCAAGCCACUAUGUCUAUGGUAAUUUGUUAUAGCAGCAAUGAUAAACUAAUACAACAGCCCUGACUUGGGGGGAGGGUAAAGGAAAGAGCCACACACCACCACCCUCUCACCAUGGGAGGAAUAGUUGAAAUGAACACAUGACUUCAGGUCCCCAACAAAGAGCUGAAUGGGUUUCAGGCUAGCUUGCUAAUUCAUUCACCAAUUCUCAGCUCUGGUGUUGCUUGAUUCAGAAGGUAAAGACAAUUUUUAAAUUUCCUUAAUUUCAAAACUUAAUUCAUCCAAUGCAUUUAAUUUAAAAUCAUACAUUAUUUAUCCACAAAUCCUGAUACACAGGGAAAGAAACAGAAAUAUUUGCUGGACAGGUGGCAUGGAAACAAAGGGUUAUUAGCGAUUGCCAUGCAGGCCUAAGUGAAUUCACAAUGACCAUCAUGACAUCAUGUCUGUUGUUACUAUCAAGAGCGUUGCUCUUGGAUAAGUAUCAAUAACCUCAGAACUAUGGAAAGAACCAUGUGUGGAGUUUGGCACCACAGAUAUUCUCUGAGUGAUUGAAGUCUCUUCUACCAUGAGGCCUUGAAAGCUCCAUGAUAGAGAUGACAGAGCUAUAAGAUGAAAGCAGCCCAAAUCCCUGAGUCACCAAUGUUUGAAGAAGAGCUUCCCAGGAGAGGUACAGUAAAAGCCUUGCCAUCACUCCCAUUAUACAGAGGAAGAAACUGAGACCUAGAGAAGUUCAGAACCUUGCUACAUCAAUCAGAAGUACAAGCCAAGGCUCAUGAAGUGGUUUCCUUAUUUUCUCACCCCAAGUUAGUAAGUCUGUAACUUCUCCUUCACAGUGCAAUUUGUCACGCAGUCUAUGGCACUGUAGAAUUUGGCUAUAGAUCCCUAAGUCAGAAAAGUCCAUGUUUGGAGAACUACUAGUAAGUCAAGACAGAGGAGUGUGACAAAGGCUGACAAAACCCUACCUGCAGCCUGGAGGUCACAGGCAGCCUGCUUUUUGAGUCUCCCUGAAUGGAGGGGAAGGGGCUCUCCCUGAGGGAAUGUGCUCAACUCUGGGUCGUGUGGAAGAGUUAGGAAGUUAACACUCCAUGAGCGACCCUCAUCCAAUGUCGGCUGGGAAUGGGUGGAUAAAUACCCUAACUUUCUAAGGUAUAUGUGUGUCCAGCAGGGCCUCCAGUGGGGAUGAACCACAGUUGGCCACAAUGGUAACCUGCCCAUUAACACACCCUUCAUUGGUCUUUAUUCCCUUCCCUGAGCCUUCACUGUGUUUUCAGGGAUCACCUCCGAAGGAAAUGACUUACACCCAAAUCAGGAUCUGUUUUUGAGGGAACCCAACAUAACACAUGGAGAGAUGGGUUUCCUAUGAAGAAGGAAAUAUGGGCUGUAAAAUACCACGGAGAGUCAGAGUAAGUACAGGCGGCUACAACAAAGAUAGAUCAGGUCACGGAGGUCUCUGGGAAUAGAGGAAAGCCACCCAGAGGAAAAAAGGACAUGACUGCCACUAGCACCAUAUGUAUGUUUCAGAUGGGAUGUGUAUUUAUGUGUGUGUGUGUGUGUGUGUGUGUGUGUGUGUGUGUGUAGGGAGGGGUGACAGAGAGAGAGAGGCAGAAUAAAUAUCUUGGUCAUUGGUUACAAGCCAACAAAACUGAAGUGAUGAAACUCAGUGAGUUUUAUAGAAAUGUGCUGGAGAUGCUUCAAUUACUUUCUCAAUAGGUCUAUUUUGAUAACUGAAUGAAAAGAAUCCAUGUGAAGCACCUACCACUCUUCCUGGCUUGUAGUGAACACACAAAAAGAAUUGUUGAUUAUUGUAGUAGACACUGUAGUGUACCUCCUAGAUUCUCCUUACCCAGCCACUAUACCCAUCCCCAUUGCUGUGAGGUCAGGUGCCCAGGAAUCACAGCAUCCCACCCACCCUUCCCUUGCUCCAGGCAAUGCCCUCAACUGGUAGGUGUCACUUUGCCCAGAAACUACCAUUCUUCUCCAGGGGACCCACGGCCAAGGGCAAACUGGCAUAGGCUAUGCAAGGCUGGCCCCUGGCAGAAUGUAUGUGGAAGGGGCAACUCUUCAGUGUGCUUUAUGGACCAUGGACCAAAUCCAGCUCUCCAUUUGCUUUUGUAAAUUGUUAUUGGAACACAGCCACCCCAUUCCUUUUUGAAUUGUCCAUGGCUGCUUUCCUGCUACAACAGAAGUUGAGUUAUUGCAACAGAGGUCGUCUGGGCCACAAGAUCUAAAGUAUUUACUCUGGCCCUUGAUGGAAGAAACUUGUCCACCGAGCCCUAGAGCUGCACUUCCAAUAUGGUAGCCAUUGGCCAUAUGUGGAUAUUUCAAUUUAAAUUCAUUAAAAUUAAAUAAAAUUAAUAUUUCAGUUCUUCAACUCCAAAAAUUACAUUUUGAGUACUCAGUAGCCAUGAGUCGCUGGUGACUCUCCUAUCAGCCCAGAUACAGAACACUGCCAUCUUCACAGGAAGUUCUGUUGGAUGGUGCUGCACUAUAGGCUUCAGCUUCUGGGUAAAACU
rnacentral:lncRNA from 1 species